rnacentral:rRNA from 1 species
AAAACUAGCCGGUCCCAUGGGUAUGAAACCCAUUUGAGCGAGAGUAGUAUUAGAAUGGGUGACCUCCUGGGAAGUCCUCGUGAAAGGGUUUC